ACGAACGCUGGCGGCAGGCUUAACACAUGCAAGUCGAGCGCCCCGCAAGGGGAGCGGCGGACGGGUGAGUAACGCGUGGGAACGUGCCCUCUUCUACGGAAUAGCCCAGGGAAACUUGGAUUAAUGCCGUAUACGCCCUUCGGGGGAAAGAUUUAUCGGAGGAGGAUCGGCCCGCGUUGGAUUAGGUAGUUGGUGAGGUAACGGCUCACCAAGCCGACGAUCCAUAGCUGGUUUGAGAGGAUGAUCAGCCACACUGGGACUGAGACACGGCCCAGACUCCUACGGGAGGCAGCAGUGGGGAAUCUUGGACAAUGGGGGAAACCCUGAUCCAGCCAUGCCGCGUGAUCGAUGAAGGCCUUAGGGUUGUAAAGAUCUUUCAGCUGGGAAGAUAAUGACUGUACCAGCAGAAGAAGCCCCGGCUAACUCCGU
rnacentral:rRNA from 1 species